rnacentral:rRNA from 1 species
AUUGAACGCUGGCGGCAUGCCUUACACAUGCAAGUCGAACGGUAACAGGUCUUCGGAUGCUGACGAGUGGCGAACGGGUGAGUAAUACAUCGGAACGUGCCUAGUAGUGGGGGAUAACUACUCGAAAGAGUGGCUAAUACCGCAUGAGAUCUACGGAUGAAAGCAGGGGAUCGCAAGACCUUGUGCUACUAGAGCGGCCGAUGGCAGAUUAGGUAGUUGGUGGGAUAAAAGCUUACCAAGCCGACGAUCUGUAGCUGGUCUGAGAGGACGAUCAGCCACACUGGGACGGAGACGCGGCCCAGACUCCUACGGGAGGCAGCAGUGGGGAAUUUUGGACAAUGGGCGCAAGCCUGAUCCAGCAAUGCCGCGUGCAGGAUGAAGGCCUUCGGGUUGUAAACUGCUUUUGUACGGAACGAAAAGCCCUGGGUUAAUACCCUGGGGUCAUGACGGUACCGUAAGAAUAAGCACCGGUUAACUACGUGCCAGCAGCCGCCGUAA